AGCAAGGCUAUCACAUGCAGAAUGUAUACGCAAUAGAGUACCUGGCAUACUGUGAAGGCUCAAUAUAUUUGUUGAAUGAUUAUGUGAAUGGCUACUUGUAUGUGUUCAUAAGAGAAAGAGGUCAAGAAGGGUUGGAGAAUCCAGAGGAGACUUCUUAGAGAAAGUAAGUUGAAGGUAGACCAUGAGAGUGGGUAGGGUUUAGAUGAGAGAGUUAGAAUAGUGGAGAACAUGAACAAAGAAAGGACAUGGGUCCUGUAGGGGACACCUGCUUUUGCCUGCACAGCACCCCUUCUUCUUCUUUUGGGGAACUCAACUACAUUUUCUCUGUUGCUUUCAGACUUGGAGCAACUACCAAUCAAGGAAUUCUGUCUUGCCUGGACAGAAGUGGGUGGUUGAUACAAACUAGGCUGACAUCCCAUCCAUGUGGUGUUGAGUGGAGCUGGAGAACAGGAGUCUGGUGUCAGACAGAUAUGGGUUGAAUUUGUUCUGGCAUUCUGGGCACAACACUACUCAUUAAAUAAUGAUGCCUUUUCUUUAUGUGGUUCUUUAUCUUUUUUUCAAUUGUAUAUAUACAUACCACCUCAAAUUCAAUUUA
rnacentral:lncRNA from 1 species